AACAGCUGUCUGGCCUGAGCCAACAUACUUACGACCAAGGAAAAGUGCCAUCCUUCAAUCCUGCUGAGUUGGAUUAACCUUCAGAACUAAACCUGCUUUUUCGGCAGCAGAAGAUAUCCCGACACAGAAGGAAUCAUUCACAGCAUAUCUUGAAAGAUGUCAUUCCUCCAUUGGAACAACUGAUGGUUGAAAAAGAAGGUUAUCUGCAAAAAGCUAAAAUUGCAGAUGGAGGAAAGAAACUAAGGAAAAACUGGUCUACUUCCUGGAUUGUUCUUUCUAGUCGAAAAAUUGAAUUUUACAAAGAAUCCAAGCAACAGGCUCUGUCCAAUAUGAAAACUGGGCACAAACCAGAAAGUGUGGAUUUGUGUGGAGCACACAUUGAAUGGGCCAAGGAAAAGUCGAGCAGAAAGAAUGUCUUUCAGAUCACCACAGUAUCAGGAAAUGAGUUCCUUCUACAGUCAGAUGUUGACUUCAUCAUAUUGGAUUGGUUCCACGCUAUCAAAAAUGCAAUUGACAGAUUG
rnacentral:sRNA from 1 species